UGAAGUUUAUUUUUAAAUGAAAUUUCGUCGUUUUAAAGGCGUUCAUCAAUCAUCACUAAGGCUUUUCUAGUUUCUCCUUAUUCAUUGUUCCGUUUCCUAUUUGGCAGAGUAUAAAUUUAACGGAGCUAAUAACGGAGUAUUUUUGGGAAGUAAGUAGAAAGCAAAAGGUGUACAUAUGGCGAUCGGAUUCUGUCCUCAAACACGAAAACUCAGACGGUUGGGCGUGUGCAUCUUCAAUUUACAGGCCCCGCAGUCAAAGGUCGCGAAAAGCAAAGCACAAGUAUGUGUAAGUGGUUGGAACUUCAGUAUGAUCUGUGUUUUGCUCAAAAAGAUCUAUGCACUUUACAAGCUAGAAAAAAUAAUUAAAAAGAUAUAGUGUACAUCAUAAUCAAGAAUAAUAAGCCCUAGAAAUAGUUACAAUAUUAGGAUCGUCGCAGAUCCUUGAAAUAAACAAGAUAAUAGAGAGUUGUUGAUGUUAGUAAGAGACAAAAGAUUGUAAAGAUGUUUGCUUGAUGAUAGUAGAGAGAGAGUUAGUAUAUAAAAUAGAUCUGCCCUAAUCCUUUCUCGAAACACCCGCAGAAAUAAAAUACAAGGGUUGGUGGAUUUUAGUACGGUAGUAGCUUGGCUCAAACGGUAUCGUUCCUUCGUUUAAUAGACCAGGACGUCCUUGGUCGAGUCGUCCUCAUCUGAUUACCAAGGCUCUGAGGGCGGCCUCGAUGAAUGGGGUAUGCUCACUUGGACGGCGGCGGGGCAAACAACAUUUUGCCUCAUACAAUCUGUUGGUUCUCAUAGGUAGGCGUUUAAAUUUGAUUAAAGGCUACUUAAAUUUCGCUCUGUCUGCAAAUCCUGGAGAUCUAUGGCUACCAAAGAACAAUUUUAAUAGUGACUUGGCUAGAGUUCCAUGGCUGAUGUUAGCCGACAUCAGCCAUGGAACUCUAAUAGGAUGAAGAUGGUGAAGGCAAUUCAUGUCGACAAUUCUUCAGCCUCUGUAAUGGCAUGAUUUUGAAAAGAAUAUCGGAAACUAGAGGAAAGCGGUGCAAUUGAUGUUGUUUAUUAUAAUGGUCAGUCUGUGCAAUUGAUCGAUUGGGCCGUGUAGUGGUACGUUUGCAAUGUUGCUGGUCAACAAGUAGCAAAGCUACCAUCCUAUCGACAUUUUGACUGGCAUUACAUUGUAGAAUCACUUAGAGUCACUGUUUAUAGUUGUGAGACAAGUUGAAAAGGUACAUUACUUAAGCCUAAACUAGGGAGUACAUACGCAUCCAAGAUCAUCAUGAUGAGGAGCUACUGAAUAAUACUGGGGUCGAUAGUGAGUCAAUUUAUGCUUACUUGAGCCGAGGGUCUAUCUGAGACAGCCUCUCUACCUGCGCAAGGUAGGAUAAGACUGCAUACAUACUACCCUCCCAAGACCCCACUUCUGAGAUUAUACUGGGUAUGUUUGUUAAAAAUUAGUGCAUCUUACAUGUUUUAUUUACUCUUUUACUUAUGUUUACUAAGUCAAAUAAUUCAGUUCCUACUUUAUAGGAAUAGUAUCAACUUAGUUGUUAAUGGAUAGGAUUCCUUGCUAGUUAGAAUCUUUUAGGAGUUGAAUGUUAGUGGUUCAGUCUUAUUUAUAUGCUUUGCAUAUCCUGAUUUACAGAGUUCCAGUGAAAUCAAUAACAUUCUUCAGCGUUUUAUUUCUCCUACAAUUUCUUUGACUGCAAUUUCUUCUUUCCUCUGUUGUUUUUUGUUUUAUGGUAUUGGAGCCAGGUUGUUGAACUCUAGUUGUUCUUUCUUUCUUCUUGCCUAUCAAGUUCGCUUUGUUUUGUUGGAGGAGAUCGAAAGUUGUAGAGGAGAAACUGUUUGUGCAGUAUGGAAUUGGCAAAUGGGGGAAGCAGUUCGAAUGCACAGUUUGGUGUUGAAAAGCUUGUAGGGACAAACUACAAUUACUGGAGAAUGUGUAUGGAUACUUACCUUCAAGGUCAAGACUUGUGGGAUCUUAUUGUUUGUGCUUCAGACAUUCCAGCAAAUACUCCGGAAAAUGCAGAACCACGAAGGAAAUGGAAGAUCAAAUGUGGUAAACCUCUCUUUGCUUUAAGAACUUCAAUUGGAAAAGAAUUCAUCGAUCAUGUACGUGAUGUUAGUUCACAAAAGAAGUCUGGGAGACACUUGAGAGAUUGUUUUCUCAAAAGAAUACAGCUAGGUUACAGCUGUUGGAAAAUGAAUUGGCAAUGCUAACACAGGGAGGCAUAUCUAUUUCUGAAUAUUUCGUACGAGUUAACAACAUUUGUGCUGAAAUUUCGGAAUUAGAUCCGGAUGAGAAGAUCGGCGAAGCAAAAACGCAACGAUUUCUUAUUCGAGGAUUGAAGAAGGAGUACAAUCCUUCGUCACCUCCAUUCAAGGUUGGUCAAAGCAACCUUCCGUUGAAGAAUUAGAAAAUUUGCUUUCCAACCAAGAGGUUUUAGCAAAGCAAAUGGCAAAAAGUUUUGAAUUCGAUGUCGUUCUCUUCUCAAAGGACAAGAUAAAAAGAAAAACACAUUAGCAGGAAACAAGAACAAUGAGAAAGGCUCAAACAGUGGAAAAGCUACUGAUGACAACUUUGAAAAUAGAAGGUGCCAUAGAUGUGGUGAAAUUGGACACAUCAAGAAAAACUGUAGAGUGAAGAUCUCAAAGGCAAAUGUUGCCACUGAAAAUGAAGGAAACGAGCAACUCAAAUGGGAGCAAUGCUUCAUCGUUGAAGUAGUUGAAGGAAGGAACGACGGUGCCGUGCCAGCUCAAGUUCUUUACAGCCACGAUAGCUGAAGACAAGAGUGGAUCAUUGAUUCUGGUUGCUCUCAAUCAUGUAACCGGCAAUGAUUCACUACUUUCACAGCUACGUCAACAUAAUGGAGAACGAGUUAUUGUUACAGCUUAUAACUCGGUACAUCCAGUAGCUAAAGAAGGAGUUUUGAAGAUUGGCGUUGGAGACACACAUGCUAUCAAGUUCUACGUCUUUCAUGUUCCAGGUUUGAAGAGAAAUUUAGUUUCAGUCUCCCAAAUUACCAAUUUUGGAAAAUAUGUUUUGUUCGGUCCAAAUGAUGUAAAGGUUCUUGAUACAACAACAACAACACAACCCAGUAUAAUUCCACUUAGUGGGGUCUAGGGAGGGUAGUGUGUACGCAGACCUUACCCCUACACUUGGGUAGAGAGGCUGUUUCCAAAUAGACCCCCGGCAUCCUUCCCUCCAAGAACUUCCCACCUUGCUCUUGGGGAGACUCGAACUCACAACCUCUCGGUUGGAAGUGGGGGUUGCUUACCAUCAGCGCAACCUCUCGGAGGUAAAGGUUCUUGAUAACAUAAAGAAUAUAGCUGCUGAUGUUAUUCUUGCUAGUAAAAAGAAAGGUUACUUAUUUGUCAUGGCAGUAGAGGAAGCCUAUGUGAAGAAGACAAGUCAAACAGAUAGUCCAGCAAUUUGGCAUACUCGACUGCGACACUUAGGCUACCAAUUGUUGCAGCAAAUUUCUUCGAAGAAAAUGGUGGAUAGGCUUCGAACAAUGAUGAAAUCUCAACUUCAAAUACCUCAAUUUCAGAUGAUGGUGAAUAAUAAACUCCUAGGAGAUCAACAAGGAGAAACAACAGCCAAGUUACCUAGAAGACUAUGAGGUACAACUGAAUAAUUGCUCAAUUAAUUCAUACUUUUUUAUAGGAGGAUCGGAUGAAGAACCAACAAGCUUUGACGAAGCCAAAGGUCACCAAAGUGGGAAGAAGCUAUGCAAGAAGAAAUUGAUGCAUUGAACAAAAACAAGACAUGGGAGUUGAUGUCGAAGUCAGAGAAUUGCGAGCUUAUCACUUUGCAAAUGGGUUUACGGAUUGAAGAAAAACUCAAAUGGGGUCAUUGAUAAGUACAAAACUCGUCUUAUUGCACACGAUUUUUCUCAAAGUUAUGGGCUAGAUUAUAAGGAGACUUUCAGUCCAGUUGCAAAAAUGGUAACAAUAAGAACCAUUUUCUCUGUUGCAGCAUCUAUGAAUUGGAAGUUGUGACAACUUGAUAUGAAGAACGCUUUUCUUUACGGAGAAUUGGAUCCUGAUGUUUUGAUGGAACAACCUAAAGGUUAUGUCUCUACGCAAUAUCCUCAUCAUGUUUGCCAGUUAAUGAAGGCAUUGUAUGGUCUUAAACAAGCACCACAUGCUUGGUAUGAUAAAGUUGCUCAAUUCUUUAUCUUUUGUGGCUUUAAAGUUUCUGAUGCAGAUUCUAGUUUGCUUAUUUAAAUAGAAUCAAAUAUGCACUUGAUGGUCUUAUUAUAUGUGGAUGAUAUGAUCAUUACUGGAAAUAAUGACGCUGAGAUUUCUAAGUUGAAAAAUGAACUCUGUGUUCGAUUUGAGAUGAAGAAUUUGGGAGAAGUUAGCUGUUUUCUUGGUCUUGAAAUUGAAAAAAACAGAUCAAGGAUAUUUUGUUUCUCGAAAGGCAUAUACAAGAAAGUUGCUGCAACGUUUUGGCAAUGGGGGAGGCGAAAGAGAAAGCUACUCUAGUGGAGCCACAUAUCAAAUUGAUGAAAGAUGAAGGAACACUCUUAAAAGAUGCUAGAAGUUUUCAGCAGCUUGUUGGUAGUUUAAUUUAUUUAACUAUCUACCUGAGAUUGCUUGUUCUUUUUGAAUUGUUUCUCAGUUCAUGCAAUGUCCAAGAAGUCCACACCUAGAUGCAGCAAAACGAAUUCUUCGUUAUGUGAAGGGUUCACUUGAUCAUGGUCUAAUGUAUAGAAAACAUGAAGAAUUAGUAUUAAGCCGCUUUACCAAUGCGGACUGAGCUGGAGAUGUGAAUGAUAGACAUUCAACUUCGGGAUAUUGUUUCAGCACCGGGUCAACUAUGGUAUCUUGGUGCAGUAAAAAGCAAUCAGUGGUGGCAUUGUUUAGCACCGAAGCUGAGUAUGUCGCAGCAACUAUGGUUGUGCAAGAAUGUAUGUGGUUGAAAAGAUUAAUAGGAGAGAUGUUGCACAAAGUUGAUUAUGCUGUUCAACUUAGAUGUGAUAAUGGAAGUGCUAUCAAGCUUGCAUCGAAUCCCAUUUUCCAUGGUCAGACGAAGCAUAUUGAGGUUCGUCAUCACUACAUUUGAGAAAAAGUGCUAGAUCAAGAAGUUGUUUUGAAAGGAAUUUCUACAAAUGAGCAAGUCGCAGAUAUAUUUACAAAGGCUUUGGUAAAGACUAAGUUUGAAUAUUUUAGAAUUGCUUUUGGAGUUAUUGAUCGUAAGUUUGUACUAUGGGGGAGUGUUAAAAAUUAGUGCAUCUUACAUGUUUUAUUUACUGUUUUACUUAUGUUUACUGAGUCAAAUAAUUCGGUUCCUAUUUUAUAGGAAUAGUAUCACUUAGUUGUCAAUUUGGAUAGGAUUCCUUGCUAGUUGUUAGAGUCUUUUUAGGAGUUGAAUGUUAGUGAUUCAGUCUUAUUUAUAUGCUUUGCAUAUCCUGCUGUAAAAUCAGAGUUCUAUUGAAAGCAAUAACAUUCUUCAGUGAUUUAUUUCUCCUACAAUUUCUUUGACUGCAAUUUCUUCUUUCCUCUAUUGUUUUUUGUUUUAAUGUUGUUCUUGUUGUAGUGAGUCAUCUUAUGUGACAACAAAAUUUUAUGUUUUCAAGCUGGAUUUAGCUCCUGGCAAACUGACACAAACCAAGGAAUUAGGGGACAAAUCUCUUUUUCUAAGUUAUAAUGCAUCUCUCUCGGAACAAGCUUCUCAAUUUCCUGGAAUCAAGCCAAAUCAUAUUUAUUUUACUGAUAAUGAUUGGUCAAAACACCAUUUGUACAAAGAAGGUGCCGGCUUGGACAUGGGUGUUUUCAACCUAGCAGAUGACACCAUCGAGCUUCACUAUAAGGGUGUUUCCUUCAGUCAUUUUUGUCCACCAACUUGGGUCGCAUCACCUCUUUAUUGAUUCAUUACUCCAUUUACUCUAUAAUACUAGUCAUAUUUUUCCAUGUCAUAAGCAUCUUAUUGUAAUUAGAAUUGCUAGUACGUUUUCAAAAUCAUAUAUUUGGAGAAUGUAUCAUAAUUUCCUUUUCUUUUUGGUUGUUGCACUAAAUCCUUCUUCUCCUUGAGCUCCAUCAGUUAUUAGCUUGAAUGUAUUGUAUAUAUGCAUGAAAAAAUGAUCAUAAAAACGGAGGCCCUAAUUUGAGUUGAAACUGAUUUGUGGAAAAGAAAGGGAUAACAGAAGAGAGGGUUGGAGCAGUUUCCCUGCUGGCACAUAAUAACAGUUCUCAAAAUUGACUGCACUAAGAGAUAUAUAAGCCAAUGGAUCUAGUAUUCAUGCUCUGCUGACUAUCCUGAUCUAUUUAUACUGUUUGAAGUUGUUGUUAUUUUUGUGUAGUAGUAACUUUUAAUUGGAUAGAUUAUUGUUUUAACUAUGCACAAGUUCCCAGUCAGCUACAAUAACAACAACCCACUUCAAACAUAUUCAACACAAAUUGAUAAUCUGGGUGAGUUCACUUCAAACUAACCCAGGACAAGUAUUUUACAAUAUCUGUCACUCAUAUAAGCUCCAAAAAAAUAAAUAAUCUAAAAUGAAGUGCCAUGUAAUUCGUCAAGGUAACACUCCAAGAAGACAUCCUUUUCUUUGGGUUUUGGUAUCUGAUCCUUUUAUGUUUAAUAGGUAUUUCAAUUAAAUGAACAUCGUUGAUGCAUUUACAUCCUGCACAUAACUUUUUGCCUCUUGCUAGCCAUAGAAGCAUUUGCUUGGUUAACCAAUGCAACGGUAAGCUCGUCAGCCUGCAAUUGUCAUUUGCAGCUGCGUUGUCAGUCCAUUUUGGUUUUAGAUUUCUUUGGCAAGUCUGGAGUUUCUUUUCAGGACAACAAAUUUUGAGUUUCAAGCUCGAUUUAGGUGCUGGAAAAUUGACUCGGAGAAUAGGACGGUGCUUUUCUUUCGGAUCAAAUUUCAUCUCUGUUAGUCCAGUCCUAGCUUUUCAGUUUCCUGAAAUCAAGCCAACUCAUAGUUAUUCUGCUGUUAGGUUGUUGGGAACAUUCCUACAUCAUGAUGAAGGAGAAGGCUUGGGCAUGGUGCCAUCAAUCCUGUCUAAGCACCUACGCAGGUUAUCCUCUCUGUACCGAGUUGUAGCUAGUCAUUUGCCGUCUCUUAUUGUCUACAGAUCCAUUUGUUAUUGUGGUUGGCAUGCUAUCGCAUGAUAACUUUGUCAAAUAAUUGCUCUGUCAUUUACCUUUUUUCCCCCUUGUUCUAGGUGAAUUUCAUCUGUUUGCGUCUAGAAAUGUUACUAAUAUAAUUGUUGUUCUUUGACAAUAAGAAGCUCAUACUAAGAGAUUUUGAGGUAAUACUUGACUUGUUCUGUCAUUUAGACUUCUAAACAUGGUGAUUUUGGUGGAAUGUAUUAUCUGCUUUGCAGUAUUAUAUUUGCCAGGAAAUUCUUCUUUUUCACAUAGGUGAUUGGUCUAAUUUUCUAAGGUUCCACCUUCUGCUGUUUUAAAUUAAGACAAUAUUAAGACAACAACAACUACCCAGUAUAGUCCCAAAGGGUGGGGUCUGGGGAAGACAAUAUUAAGAGACCCUCAAAAUUGUGAUUAGCUCAUAAAUUCUCAAGAAUAUAUAAAUUGAAGAACUGGGACCUCUAUUUGAUUAGAACUCUUAAGCCAAUGAAUAUACAUCUCGGCUUUUCCAUCUUUCAUUGUUGGUCUUAGCAUUCUUUGCUUCUAGGAGGAGUGCUGAGUACUUUUUAAUUCACUAAUUGUUGUUGUAUUCAAUUUGAAAGUGAAACACUGUGGUUAUCAAUAGAUAAAUAAUACUUAACCGCAACACUCCAGACUUACACUUUUAUCUAGGUUUCUAUUUUAUAACCUAUUAUGUAUGCAUUGUGCCCAAUUAUCUGAUCAGUAUUUUCCUCCCAUAGCCAAAACAAAAUUUUCUUUUCAAUAAUGUUCCUGUUUAGCGCUAGAAAUGAAGCCAAUAAAUUUCUGAUGAUAGCUCUAUUUGCAGGUUCUUAUUUGAUAAAAGCUGUUCCGGUAACAAAUACUACGAAUAUCAGUAUAGCAUAGAGGAAAAGGCUCUAUAUUUUUUGUACAAUUAUUGCUCUGUCCACCUUGUUAUAUUUCUUCAACUUUUGAUAACCGAAAUAUUCAUGAACAUGUGAUGGAUAAACGUAUUUGAGAAUCUGGACUAAAUGAGUUACUAUGAUGUGCAUUAGAUUUCGAAAGGUGAUUACUGGCAUAAUAUGCAUCUUACAUUCAUUGAUGUUAUCCUGUCUUGUUUUAUAUGUGAAAGUAGUGCAUAUAUGAUUUUCUGUUGCGACCAAAUAUAUAUGGUUUAGCCAAGUAUAUGCCUUCGUCCAAACUAGGUUACUUUGUUUUCUCGAAUUCUUGA
rnacentral:lncRNA from 1 species